rnacentral:misc_RNA from 1 species
UUUCCGUAGGUGAACCUGCGGAAGGAUCAUUAUUGUACGACCGAGGGGCGAGGUAACUAGUUCAUCCGUCUGUGCGCGCAGGCCCUAGUGCCUAUUUUCCCAACCAUCUGUAACCUAUGUGCUCCAUCGCGAGGAAACACCAUUGGCAUCAACGGAGGUCGGCUCACUCUUUCACACAAACUACGCAUGCGAUGUAGAAUGUAUACGUCUGUAUUCCGAUCACGCAAUCCAUACACCUUUCACCAAUUGUGCUCUUGGCUCUCACAUCGAUGAAGAACC